rnacentral:rRNA from 1 species
GUGCCAGCAGCCGCGGUAAGACGUAGGGGGCGAGCGUUAUCCGGAUUCACUGGGCGUAAAGGGCGCGCAGGCGGUUACGUAAGUCCGGCGUGAAAUCCCACGGCUUAACUGUGGAACUGCGUCGGAAACUACGUUGACUUGAGGAUGGUAGAGGCCAUUAGAACUAGCGGUGUAGCGGUGAAAUGCGCAGAUAUCGCUAGGAAUGCCGGUGGCGAAGGCGGAUGGCUGGGCCACUCCUGACGCUGAGGCGCGAAAGCUAGGGGAGCGAACCGGAUUAGAAACCCUCGUAGUCC